CGCGGCCUAUCAGCUUGUUGGCGGGGUAACGGCCCACCAAGGCAUCGACGGGUAGCUGGUCUGAGAGGACGAUCAGCCACACUGGGACUGAGACACGGCCCAGACUCCUACGGGAGGCAGCAGUGGGGAAUCUUGCGCAAUGGGCGAAAGCCUGACGCAGCAACGCCGCGUGGGGGACGAAGGCUCUCGGGUUGUAAACCCCUUUCAGGAGGGACGAAAUUGACGGUACCUCCAGAAGAAGCCCCGGCCAACUACGUGCCAGCAGCCGCGGUAACACGUAGGGGGCGAGCGUUGUCCGGAUUUAUUGGGCGUAAAGAGCUCGUAGGUGGCUCGGUAAGUCGGGUGUGAAAUUUCGAGGCUCAACCUCGAGACGCCACCUGAUACUGCUGUGGCUAGAGUCCGGUAGGGGAGCGUGGAAUUCCUGGUGUAGCGGUGAAAUGCGCAGAUAUCAGGAGGGACACCAGCGGCGAAGGCGGCGCUCUGGGCCGGUACUGACACUGAGGAGCGAAAGCGUGGGGAUCAAACAGGAUUAGAUACCCUGGUAGUCCACGCCGUAAACGUUGGGCACUAGGUGUGGGGUUCUAUCAACGGACUCCGUGCCGAAGCUAACGCAUUAAGUGCCCCGCCUGGGGAGUACGGA
rnacentral:rRNA from 1 species